UUUGAGGUCAAUGGGGCAACCAAAGGUCUACUGGUGGCUACUAAAGGAUUCUGGGGUCAAUGGUGGCCACCAAGGGUCUACAGAAAGGGUUUUGGGGUCAGUGGUGGCCACCAAAGGGUUUUGGGGUCAACUGGUGGAAACUGAAGGGGUUUGGGGUCUACUGGUGGCAGCUGGGGGGUCAACCAGUGGCAACUGGGGUCUACUGGGAUGAGGUUACGGGGUCAGGGGGUCCCUUGGUGGUCCUGGGGUGGAUUUUGGGUCACUUUAGCUCUAAUUUGGGGCAAUUUGGGUCCAGUUAUGAAGGUUCUAGGUCCUUCAAGGUGGGUUUUGAAGCCCGGGGAGAUAUUUGGGGUUAUGGGGUCGGGUUUUGGGGUCCCCUACAAGAUAGUUAUGGGGUCGGGGGGGUCCCUCGGUUGUCCCGGGGUAGAUUUUGGGUCACUUUAGUUCUAAUUUGGGGCAAUUUGGGGCAAUUUGGAUCCAUUUAUGAAGGUUCUAGGUCCUUCAAGGUAGCUUCUGAAGCCCGGGGAGCUAUUUGGGGUUACGGGGUGGGGUUUUGGGGUCCCUUGUGACGUAAUUAUGGGAUCGGGGGGGUCCCUUGGUGAUCCUGGGGUGGAUUUUGGGUCACUUUAGCACCAAUUUGGGUCACUUUAGUUCCAAUUUGGGUCCAGUUAUGAAGGUUCUAGGUCCUUCAAGGUGCGUUUCGAAGCCUGGGGAGAUAUUUGGGGUUACGGGAUCGGGAUUUGGGGUCCCUUGAGACGUAAUUAUGGGAUUGGGGGGGGUCAUCUGGUGUUCCUAGGGUGGAUUUUGGGUCACUUUAGCUCUAAUUUGGGGCAAUUUGGGUCCAGUUAUGAAGGUUCUAGGUCCUUCAAGGUAGCUUCUGAAGCCCGGGGAGCUAUUUGGGGUUACGGGGUCAGGUUUUGGGGUCC
rnacentral:lncRNA from 1 species